rnacentral:rRNA from 1 species
UAGAGAGAGCCACCGUCGACAAGACGGAGGAAGGCGGGGAUGACGUCAAAUCAUCAUGCCCCUUAUGACCUGGGCUACACACGUGCUCCAAUGGUUGGUACAACGGGAUGCUACUUCGCGAGAAGAUGCUAAUCUCUUAAAACCAAUCUCAGUUCGGAUUGUAGGCUGCAACUCGCCUACAUGAAGUCGGAAUCGCUAGUAAUCGCGGAUCAGCAUGCCGCGGUGAAUACGUUCCCGGGCCUUGUACACACCGCCCGUCACACCACGGGAGUUUGCAACACCCGAAGUCGGUGA